rnacentral:tRNA from 1 species
GGAGGGAUGGCAGAGCGGCUGAAUGCGCCGGUCUUGAAAACCGGAAGACCUGCAAAGGUCUCGGGGGUUCAAAUCCCUCUCCCUCCG